CCUACGGGUGGCAGCAGUGAGGAAUAUUGGUCAAUGGACGAGAGUCUGAACCAGCCAAGUAGCGUGAAGGAUGACUGCCCUAUGGGUUGUAAACUUCUUUUAUAUGGGAAUAAAACGUUCCACGUGUGGGAUUUUGUAUGUCCCAUAUGAAUAAGGAUCGGCUAACUCCGUGCCAGCAGCCGCGGUAAUACGGAGGAUCCGAGCGUUAUCCGGAUUUAUUGGGUUUAAAGGGAGCGUAGGUGGAUUGUUAAGUCAGUUGUGAAAGUUUGCGGCUCAACCGUAAAAUUGCAGUUGAAACUGGCAGUCUUGAGUACAGUAGAGGUGGGCGGAAUUCGUGGUGUAGCGGUGAAAUGCUUAGAUAUCACGAAGAACUCCGAUUGCGAAGGCAGUUCACUGGACUGCAACUGACACUGAGGCUCGAAAGUGUGGGUAUCAAACAGGAUUAGAUACCCUAGUAGUC
rnacentral:rRNA from 1 species